CUCCGUAGAAAAAGUCGGGAGUGACAGAGAGGCCAGAGCCGCUGACAGCUUCAGCGAGAGCAGCCGGUCAAGGAGGGAGUCCUGGAGCCCGGGAGCGCCCACUCUUCACUCUUCAGCUUCCAUCUUUCACACAGAGCUCUGUGUAGUUAACAGAGCGAAGUUGGAGACUUUUAGAGUAAACAUUAGUUAUAGUAAAGAAACAGAAGAAGACCGAGAACAUGGCGAGUGGCUGUGGAGCAGGGGGACAUCCCUGCAGUCCUCUCCUGACAGACGAGCUCCAGAGACCGGGGCUGAUAACUCGGUAGUAGUAGUACACUGAGUACCGCGGGAAAGUUCUCUACUAGUUAGCCUACAAGCUACAGCGGGAGGUUCAGCCUGCGCUCCCGCGAGGAAUGCUGAACUGCUUCGGUCACUGUGGCGAACUCCAUGUCCGAUGACUUUUCCCACAAGAACCACUGAAGACACACAGAAAGAGGGGAGCAAAAAUGUGUGUAUGUGUAUGAGAUGAUGUGACAACUUUCCUCCGCAAGUGAACUGUGGAAAGGAGAGCUGGAAUGAGAUUUGUGCUGCGAACAGAAGAGAGGAAAGCAUAGACACCAUAGUGGAAAGGAUGUAUAUGAUAUAAGGUAUGUUAUAAUGUAAGGAAUAUCAAAGCAUUAGCGGCUGUAAUGUUUACUUAAACAAACAAAAAUGUGAGCUGUUUUAAUAUCAUCUUGUAAAGACCUGUAAUUCAAAUGCACAUUUUAACCAGGGAAGCACCAAAAAUUUGUCUGAAAAUAAUAGAGCAAUAGAGCACACCGAACAAUGAUAUUUUUGAUGUUAAAAUGGUCAUUGUUCAAUAUUUUUUUUACUUAGGCUACAUUUAGGCUAUUUAAUUUAUGCAUUGAUAAAAACAAUGGCAAAAAAACUGGUAUUUUAUUUUCUGUCCAAAUUUUUCAUAUUGGUGCAUUUCUUAUUUUAAUCUAAACAUUACUUUUAAUGUCAUUCUCUUUGCUAAAUAAUCCUAUAUAAUUUGUAUUUAAAAUAAAUAAAGACUUCUAUGAUAUAUCACAGUAUUUGGAUACACUUCCAGGGGUCCAUUGAGUAAACAUAUGUAAAGCAAAUCCCUUGUAUCUCUAAAAGGGCCUAACUUUUUAAAAGAGAAUGAAAAAAAAAACAAAAAACAUUUUAAGUGAAAUUAACUGAAAUUUCUUAAUAUUUAAUGGAGAUGGAGAUGCAAAGUUUUUGCAAGACAACACUGUAAUGCCUUUGUUGUGAUGUAAAGAUGUUUUUGUGUUCAAUAAACUUCAGUGAACUUG